rnacentral:rRNA from 1 species
GACGAACGCUGGCGGCGUGCUUAACACAUGCAAGUCGAGCGAUGAAGCUCCUUCGGGAGUGGAUUAGCGGCGGACGGGUGAGUAACACGUGGGUAACCUGCCUCAUAGAGGGGAAUAGCCUUCCGAAAGGAAGAUUAAUACCGCAUAAGAUUGUAGUACCGCAUGGUAUAGCAAUUAAAGGAGCAAUCCGCUAUGAGAUGGACCCGCGUCGCAUUAGCUGGUUGGUGAGGUAACGGCUCACCAAGGCGACGAUGCGUAGCCGACCUGAGAGGGUGAUCGGCCACAUUGGGACUGAGACACGGCCCAGACUCCUACGGGAGGCAGCAGUGGGGAAUAUUGCACAAUGGGGGAAACCCUGAUGCAGCAACGCCGCGUGAGUGAUGACGGUCUUCGGAUUGUAAAACUCUGUCUUUGGGGACGAUAAUGACGGUACCCAAGGAGGAAGCCACGGCUAACUACGUGCCAGCAGCCGCAGUAACAC